GUUCCACCAAACAAAAUGAAGAACACAUACUAUUUCUAUAGGAACGGGAGAGUGAAUGUUUCUUCACCAAUGUAAGCGGAAGAUGUGUGCGAGCCUAAUUUGCGGCGCUGGCGCUGCUGUCGGUAAGAGAUGCGAUGUUGAGCGCCAUUUCACUCAAGUUCAUGGUAACUUUACACCGGACUUUCCUGUGGGUAGCGGGCUACGAACUGGAAAAGUGAAACAGCUGAAAGCAACAUUACAAAAACAACAAUCUUUAUUCACCAAACCGAUAAAGAGAGGAAAUUCUGUAACAGAGGCAUCACUUAAAGUGACAAAACAUAAGAAGCCGUUCACCGAUGGCGCAGCGGUGAAGGAAGGAGAUGACUGCGAUGGCUGAAACUUUGUUCAGGGACCACAAAAGCAAGGCAGAAAUGAAGUCCGCUAUCGCUGAUGUCCAGCUCAGUGCCAACACGUUGGCAAGGAGAGUUUCCUUGCUUUCUUCAGAUGGAUGGGACAGUUAGAACAGGACCUGCACAGGUGUCACUGGUUUUCAUUUCAAUGUGAUGAAUCGGUGCACUUGAGUGAUUCAGCCCAGUUGGUUGUUUUUGUCCGGAUCGUUUUUCAUGAUUUUUCCACCAAAGAGGAGUUUUUUAUUAUUAUUAUUAUUUUGUUUACAUCCUCUGAAAACCACAACCAGAGGAGUCGACAUCUACAACGUUUUGCAGAACUACUUCAUGGAAAAAAAGCGUGUCCCUUGAAAAGCUGGUUUCUAUGACAACAGACAGGGCCAGUCGUGAUAGGGCGCCACUCUGUGGAGUUAUUGCACAUUGCAAGGCCGGACCCAGACUUUCCUAAAUUUCUGAACCAUCACUGCAUCAUUCAUCAGCAGGCGAUCUGCACUAAGGUUAUGGGUUUUGAUCAUGUCAUGAAACCGGUUAUUCGGAUUAUCAACUCGAUUCGAGCAAAGUCCAAACAACACAGAUGUUUCAAACUGUUUCUUGAUGAAAUUCCUGCAGAGUAUGGCGAUCUCCUCCGUCACACAGAAGUCAGAUGGUUGAGUAGGAGUAAGGUACUUCACCGCUUUGUUUCCUUGCUGAGGGAAAUUAAGGCUUUUAUAGAAGCAAGGAGGAGGAUACUAACCUGUUGUCUGAUGCCGGAAGGCUGCUUGAACUUGCAUUAUUGAGUGAUGUGACAGAGAAACUGAAUCAGCUCAAUCUUCAGUAACAAGCUCCUGCCCAGCCUCUACCCCCCGUCACUCCUGCCCCAGCUACUGCUGCCCCUGCUCCUCCUAGUGGUGGUAGUAGCAGUGGUGGCAAGGCUAAUGGACUUUACCCCGACCCCAGCAAUACGAACCAGUUCUACAACUGCGACAGUGGCAAGGCCUACUUGGAACACCGUGCCACUGGCCUGGUCUUUGAUGCUAGCUGCUCUUGCUGCAACUGGUCUUAAAUCCAAGUUCAUAAAUCUGAGUGCUUAUAAACUGCUCUCGUCUUGAUUGAUCUGAGUUGUCUUUAGUCAUGUUCAUUGAUGUUCUGAAAUAAAAAUAAACCAGCAAAAUAAACUGCA
ensembl:lncRNA